rnacentral:rRNA from 1 species
GACGAACGUUGGCGGCGUGCUUAACACAUGCAAGUCGAACGGGCCCGCCCCUGUUUUUGGGGGUGGGUUGAGUGGCGAACGGGUGAGUAUCACGUGAGUAACCUGCCCCCUGCUCCUGGAUAACUGCUUGAAAGGGCGGCUAAUACGGGGUGUGCCGGCUGGUCCGCAUGGGCCUGGUCGGGAUAGUUUCAUCUUCGGGUGUUUCGGUGGGGGAUGGGCUCGCGGCCUAUCAGCUUGUUGGGGGGGUGAUGGCCCACCAAGGCGGUGACGGGUAGCCGGCCUGAGAGGGUGGGCGGCCACACUGGGACUGAGACACGGCACAGACUCCUGCGGGAGGCAGCCGUGGGGGGUAUUGCACAAUGGGCGGAAGCCUGAUGCAGCGACGUCGCGUGAGGGAUGGAGGCCUUCGGGUUGUGAACCUCUUUCUCCGGUGGUGAAGGCCCUGUCCGUUGCGGCGGGGUUGACGGUAGCCGGGUAUGAAGCGCCGGCUAACUACGUG